rnacentral:lncRNA from 1 species
CGUCCGGCUGCUCUUCACCGGUCAGCCGCCACCCCAGGUCGCCGCCUCGACCCUCGCUGCCUUGCCAGUCCUCUCGAGAGUAGCACCGAACUGUUCCGGCUCUUGGAAAACUCAAUUCUUCCCCUUUUCUCUACACGUUCAACCUCUCACUCCCGCUUCUCUUUAAUGCCCCUGCACCUGACGUCUCUGUGCCGAUUCGAGCCAGACUGUGCGUUGUGCGUCUCUAGAGGAACUUCGAUUACCUUUGGCAAGAAACAAUCGGACCUCGGCGGAGAACGGUCCUGCAGUCGAGUUCGAGCGAGGAGACUGGAUGCCUUUGAGGAUUUCCGGCAACGACUGAGGAUCUUGCGUUUCGCGAAGAGGUGCGAUUCGUUCCGAACGGUACUAGGGUACUCGAUUGAACAAAGUCUUGGGCCUCGUUUCAAGGUCUGUCCUACGCUUACCAGCCAUGAAUUGUGCCCUACUGUGUCCUGCCCGUCCAUUGACCUCAGGCGCUUUUAGGCGCGUUGACUCCGCAGAGCCGGCGGCUCUCUCUGCGAGGUUUUUGAACUGUUUCUGCAGGC